GAACUGAGGGGGGCUGCUCCUAGUACGAGAGGACCGGAGUGGACGCAUCACUGGUGUUCGGGUUGUCAUGCCAAUGGCACUGCCCGGUAGCUAAAUGCGGAAGAGAUAAGUGCUGAAAGCAUCUAAGUACGAAACUUGCCCCGAGAUGAGUUCUCCCUGAGACUUUAGGUCUCCUGAAGGAACGUUGAAGACGACGACGUUGAUAGGCCGGGUGUGUAAGCGCAGCGAUGCGUUGAGCUAACCGGUACUAAUGAACCGUGAGGCUUAACCUUACAACGCCGAAG
rnacentral:rRNA from 1 species